rnacentral:rRNA from 1 species
GAUGAACGCUGGCGGCGUGCUUAACACAUGCAAGUCGAACGGAGUUAGAUGAAACCUAGUGAUUCUAACUUAGUGGCGGACGGGUGAGUAACGCGUGGGUAACCUGCCUUGUACAGGGGGAUAACAGUUAGAAAUAGCUGCUAAUACCGCAUAAGCGCACGGAAUCGCAUGAUUCAGUGUGAAAAACUCCGGUGGUACAAGAUGGACCCGCGUCUGAUUAGCUAGUUGGUGAGGUAACGGCCCACCAUGGCAACGAUCAGUAGCCGGACUGAGAGGUUGAACGGCCACAUUGGGACUGAGAUACGGCCCAGACUCCUACGGGAGGCAGCAGUGGGGAAUAUUGGGCAAUGGGGGAAACCCUGACCCAGCAACGCCGCGUGAAGGAAGAAGGCCUUCGGGUUGUAAACUUCUUUUAGCAGGGACGAAGGACGUGACGGUACCUGCAGAAAAAGCAACGGCUAACUACGUG